rnacentral:Y_RNA from 1 species
GGUUGGUCUGACUGUAGCAGUAUUCACCACUAACUGUUCACAACCAGUUACAGAUUCCUUUCUUCCUUCCCCCGUCCUGCUGCUUCACUUGAGUAGCCUUAA